AGUGAACGCUGGCGGUAGGCCUAACACAUGCAAGUCGAACGGCAGCACAGUAAGAGCUUGCUCUUACGGGUGGCGAGUGGCGGACGGGUGAGGAAUACAUCGGAAUCUACUUUUUCGUGGGGGAUAACGUAGGGAAACUUACGCUAAUACCGCAUACGACCUACGGGUGAAAGCAGGGGAUCUUCGGACCUUGCGCGAUUGAAUGAGCCGAUGUCGGAUUAGCUAGUUGGCGGGGUAAAGGCCCACCAAGGCGACGAUCCGUAGCUGGUCUGAGAGGAUGAUCAGCCACACUGGAACUGAGACACGGUCCAGACUCCUACGGGAGGCAGCAGUGGGGAAUAUUGGACAAUGGGCGCAAGCCUGAUCCAGCCAUACCGCGUGGGUGAAGAAGGCCUUCGGGUUGUAAAGCCCUUUUGUUGGGAAAGAAAAGCAGCAGGUUAAUACCCCGCCGUUCUGACGGUACCCAAAGAAUAAGCACCGACUAACUUCGUG
rnacentral:rRNA from 1 species